rnacentral:rRNA from 1 species
UACGUAGGGACCAAGCGUUGUUCGGAUUUACUGGGCGUAAAGGGCGCGUAGGCGGCAAUUCAAGUCAUCUGUGAAAUCUCCGGGCUUAACUCGGAACGGUCAGAUGAUACUGCUUUGCUAGAGUGCGGAAGGGGCAAUCGGAAUUCUUGGUGUAGCGGUGAAAUGCGUAGAUAUCAAGAGGAACACCUGCGGCGAAGGCGGGUUGCUGGGCUGACACUGACGCUGAGGCGCGAAAGCUAGGGGAGCGAACGGG